rnacentral:rRNA from 1 species
UACGUAGGGUGCGAGCGUUGUCCGGAAUUACUGGGCGUAAAGAGCUCGUAGGUGGUUUGUCGCGUUGUUCGUGAAAACUCACAGCUCAACUGUGGGCGUGCGGGCGAUACGGGCAGACUGGAGUACUGCAGGGGGAGACUGGAAUUCCUGGUGUAGCGGUGGAAUGCGCAGAUAUCAGGAGGAACACCGGUGGCGAAGGCGGGGUCUCUGGGGCAGUAACUGACGCUGAGGAGCGAAAAGCGUGGGGGAGCGAACAGG